rnacentral:rRNA from 1 species
CACGUAGUUAGCCGUGGCUUUCUGGUCAGGUACCGUCAAGGUACCGGCAGUUACUCCGAUACUUGUUCUUCCCUGAUAACAGAACUUUACGAUCCGAAAACCUUCAUCGUUCACGCGGCGUUGCUCCGUCAGACUUUCGUCCAUUGCGGAAGAUUCCCUACUGCUGCCUCCCGUAGGAGUCUGGGCCGUGUCUCAGUCCCAGUGUGGCCGAUCACCCUCUCAGGUCGGCUACGCAUCGUUGCCUUGGUGAGCCAUUACCCCCACCAACUAGCUAAUGCGCCGCGGGCCCAUCUGUAAGUGACAGCAAAACCGUCUUUUAUCCUUCCUUCAUGUGAAGAAAGUUUUUAUCCGGUAUUAGCUCCGGUUUCCCGAAGUUAUCCCAGUCUUACAGGCAGGUUGCCCACGUGUUACUCACCCGUCCGCCGCUGAAUCCAAAGAGCAAGCUCUUCUUCAUCCGCUCGACUUGCAUGUAUUAGGCUACGCCGCCAGCGUCUCCUGACGCAGGAUC